AGUCCCAGCUCCUCCAGGGCCAAAUCCAGUUCCUGCUCCUCCAGGGCCAAAUCCAGUUCCUGCUCCUCCAGGGCCAAAUCCAGUCCCAGCUCCUCUAGGACCAAAUGCAGUACCUGCUCCUCCAGGGCCAAAUCCAGUACCUGCUCCUCCAGGGCCAAAUCCAGUUCCAGUCCCACCUUGUCCGAAUCCAGUUUGAGGUCCAGCUCCUGCUCCUAUGCCGGUUCCAGCUCCGACUGCUGCUCCACCAGAAGCCACAGGAACCCCCAUCAUGCAAUCUGAGGUCAUUCAGCUCCCCGUUUAGCGAGGAUCACCCAGCCGAGGACCCCGAUGAUGAGUCCAUCUCUGUCAUCACCCCAACAUCAGGACCGAGACAACCAGAUGGAGGCAAUUUGGACGCGGAAAUGAUCAUUCUCCUGCUGACAUCAUCCGAGGGGACCAAUUAGACAGCAGGCUCAUCUCUCUUCUUGCCUGAUCAGAUAGCGUUUUACACUCAUGAAUGUGUGCGCUGAAAACCCGACGCGACCUCCGCUGAUGCAGUUCAUAUCCAACAGUUGUCUUAUGGAGUUUUCUGCAGUCGCUCUGUGAUUGGUUACAGUCGGAGAGAUGAUGAUUUUGGCGAUGUGGCGAUGAGGACGAGCGAAAUGGUAUGAACACCAAGGAAGGUGAAAUAUAAGAGGUCAGAGAGGUCCAUCAUGCUGCAAGAUGACAGGUUACUACGUUGUCCAGAAAAGGAACACAGGACUGCAGAGAGGGGACAGGAAAUGACGCAAUGACCGAACUAAAACCGGGGAAUCUACUAUUACAUCGUCAGCAUCCUCCUAAACCCCGACGCCUCCAAGAUACCCUAACCCUAACCCUAACCCUAACCCUAACCAC